AAUUGAUAUGAUGAUGAGAUUAUAUCCCUAUUGGGUUGAUUGGCUGCCAUGAUGGCCUCAUCUGUAUUUAGCUCUAUCUGAUCAUGU
rfam:Brachypodium distachyon strain Bd21 chromosome 1, whole genome shotgun sequence.